GUCGACGGUUUCCAAACGUAUAGUCUCGCCGCACAAUCAAAACGUCGGUUAUUCGAAUAUUAUAAUAUUAUUAUUAUAUAUAGGCAUUAUAAUAGGCGCACACGCUAAUAAUAUAAUGUAUGCGGCUGCGGAGCUGGAGGAGCAGCUCUGGCUCGGGCGGGCGUGCAGCGGUGUUCCAAUUUUUUUUCAGUCAUUAGCAACAAUUUUGAUUCGAGAGGUACGUAUCAUGACGUGGUCGAAGGCAUACGCUGCAGCUCCACGAUCCCCUAAGGUCGGUCCGUGUGUAUCGGAUCAAUUUUUUUUUUUUUUUUCGGAGGCCAUUAACACACGCACGGCUGGCCGGCUUGUAUGCACACUACGCCCACGGACUUCCGGUUCAAAUUGUUCACCACGCGAAUACCAAUAAACAAUAUACGAUAAUAUGUGUAUAAUAUUAUCGCAGUAUAUUAUAAUAUGUGCCUGUAUGGAAAAUACCUGCUACUGCGAUGAGACAUAAUGAGUAUGACCAUUGGUUUUAUAAUAAUAUAAUAUACUAUAGUAAUAGCAUAAUACUAUAUAAUAUUAUUAUAAAAUCAAUGGUAUGACUCAACUUGGGAACCGUCACAGUCGUCGCGGUUGCUUUCGUGUAGGUACAGUCACAUUCACUUAUCAAGAAAACUGAAUGUAUAUUCGCGUAAUUUGAUGAAUCACUAGGAAAAAUGUAUAACAGAAUUGCACGGAAAAUAUAAGCAAAAACCAAACUUGACAUAAUUUUUAUUUUUUUUUUUUGGUAGGUAUC